rnacentral:rRNA from 1 species
GAACUGAAGAGUUUGAUCAUGGCUCAGAUUGAACGCUGGCGGCAGGCCUAACACAUGCAAGUCGAGCGGAUGAAGGGAGCUUGCUCCUGGAUUCAGCGGCGGACGGGUGAGUAAUGCCUAGGAAUCUGCCUGGUAGUGGGGGAUAACGUCCGGAAACGGGCGCUAAUACCGCAUACGUCCUGAGGGAGAAAGUGGGGGAUCUUCGGACCUCACGCUAUCAGAUGAGCCUAGGUCGGAUUAGCUAGUUGGUGGGGUAAAGGCCUACCAAGGCGACGAUCCGUAACUGGUCUGAGAGGAUGAUCAGUCACACUGGAACUGAGACACGGUCCAGACUCCUACGGGAGGCAGCAGUGGGGAAUAUUGGACAAUGGGCGAAAGCCUGAUCCAGCCAUGCCGCGUGUGUGAAGAAGGUCUUCGGAUUGUAAAGCACUUUAAGUUGGGAGGAAGGGCAGUAAGUUAAUACCUUGCUGUUUUGACGUUACCAACAGAAUAAGCACCGGCUAACUUCGUGCCAGCAGCCGCGGUAAUACGAAGGGUGCAAGCGUUAAUCGGAAUUACUGGGCGUAAAGCGCGCGUAGGUGGUUCAGCAAGUUGGAUGUGAAAUCCCCGGGCUCAACCUGGGAACUGCAUCCAAAACUACUGAGCUAGAGUACGGUAGAGGGUGGUGGAAUUUCCUGUGUAGCGGUGAAAUGCGUAGAUAUAGGAAGGAACACCAGUGGCGAAGGCGACCACCUGGACUGAUACUGACACUGAGGUGCGAAAGCGUGGGGAGCAAACAGGAUUAGAUACCCUGGUAGUCCACGCCGUAAACGAUGUCGACUAGCCGUUGGGAUCCUUGAGAUCUUAGUGGCGCAGCUAACGCGAUAAGUCGACCGCCUGGGGAGUACGGCCGCAAGGUUAAA